rnacentral:rRNA from 1 species
UAGAGACCGGCGCACGGGUGCGUAAAGCGUAUGCAAUCUACCUUUAUCAGAGGGAUAGCCCAGAGAAAUUUGGAUUAAUACCUCAUAGUAUAUAGAGUUGGCAUCAACACUAUAUUAAAGUCACAACGGAUAAAGAUGAGCAUGCGUCCCAUUAGUUAGUUGGUAAGGUAACGGCUUACCAAGACUACGAUGGGUAGGGGUCCUGAGAGGGAGAUCCCCCACACUGGUACUGAGACACGGACCAGACUCCUACGGGAGGCAGCAGUGAGGAAUAUUGGACAAUGGGCGCAAGCCUGAUCCAGCCAUGCCGCGUGCAGGAUGACGGUCCUAUGGAUUGUAAACUGCUUUUGCACAGGAAGAAACAACUCUACGUGUAGAGUCUUGACGGUACUGUGAGAAUAAGGAUCGGCUAACUCCGUGCCAGCAGCCGCGGUAAUACGGAGGAUCCAAGCGUUAUCCGGAAUCAUUGGGUUUAAAGGGUCCGUAGGCGGUUUGGUAAGUCAGUGGUGAAAGCCCAUCGCUCAACGGUGGAACGGCCAUUGAUACUGCUAGACUUGAAUUAUAAGGAAGUAACUAGAAUAUGUAGUGUAGCGGUGAAAUGCUCAGAGAUUACAUGGAAUACCAAUUGCGAAGGCAGGUUACUACUUAUGGAUUGACGCUGAUGGACGAAAGCGUGGGUAGCGAACAGGAUUAGAUACCCUGGUAGUCCACGCCGUAAACGAUGGAUACUAGCUGUUGGGAGCAUCUCAGUGGCUAAGCGAAAGUGAUAAAUAUCCACCUGGAGAGUACGUCGCAAGAAUGAAACUCAAAAGAAUUGACGGGGGCCCGC